AACGAACGCUGGCGGCAGGCCUAACACAUGCAAGUCGAACGCAUCGCAAGAUGAGUGGCGCACGGGUGAGUAACACGUGGGAAUGUAUCCUUUGGUUCGGAAUAACGUCUGGAAACGGACGCUAAUACCGGAUGAGCCCUUAGGGGGAAAGAUUUAUCGCCGAAGGAGCAGCCCGCGUCUGAUUAGGUAGUUGGUGGGGUAAAGGCCUACCAAGCCGACGAUCAGUAGCUGGUCUGAGAGGAUGAUCAGCCACACUGGGACUGAGACACGGCCCAGACUCCUACGGGAGGCAGCAGUGGGGAAUAUUGGACAAUGGGCGCAAGCCUGAUCCAGCCAUGCCGCGUGAGUGAUGAAGGCCUUCGGGUUGUAAAGCUCUUUCGCACACGACGAUGAUGACGGUAGUGUGAGAAGAAGCCCCGGCUAACUUCGUGCCAGCCGCCGCGGUAACAC
rnacentral:rRNA from 1 species